AUUGAACGCUGGCGGCAGGCCUAACACAUGCAAGUCGAGCGAGCGGCGGACGGGUGAGUAAUGUAUGGGGACUGCCCGAUAGAGGGGGAUAACUACUGGAAACGGUGGCUAAUACCGCAUACUAUCGGAUAACCCAUAUGGGAUUAGCUAGUGGGUGGGGUAAAGGCUCACCUAGGCGACGAUCUCUAGCGGGUCUGAGAGGAUGAUCAGCCACACUGGACCUGGGACACGGCCCAGACUCCUCCGGAGGCAGCAGUGGGGAAUAUUGGACAAUGGGGGCAGUCCGGAUGCAGCCAGGCCGCGUGUAUGAAGAAGGCCUUAGGGUUGUAAGGUACUUUCAGCGGGAAGGCGUUACCCGCAGAAGAAGCACCGGCUAACUCCGUGCCAGCAGCCGCGGUAAUAC
rnacentral:rRNA from 1 species